GAUGAACGCUGGCGGCGUGCUUAACACAUGCAAGUCGAACGAAGCACCUUAUUCUGAUUUCUUCGGAAUGAAAAAUUUGGUGACUGAGUGGCGGACGGGUGAGUAACGCGUGGGUAACCCGCCUCAUACAGGGGGAUAACAGUUAGAAAUGACUGCUAAUACCGCAUAAGACCACAGCACCGCAUGGUGCAGGGGUAAAAACUACGUGGGUAUGAGAUGGACCCGCGUCUGAUUAGGUAGUUGGUGGGGUAACGGCCUACCAAGCCGACGAUCAGUAGCCGACCUGAGAGGGUGACCGGCCACAUUGGGACUGAGACACGGCCCAAACUCCUACGGGAGGCAGCAGUGGGGAAUAUUGCACAAUGGGGGAAACCCUGAUGCAGCGACGCCGCGUGAGUGAUGAAGUAUUUCGGUAUGUAAAGCUCUAUCAGCAGGGAAGAAAAUGACGGUACCUGACUAAGAAGCACCGGCUAAAUACGUGCCAGCCGCCGCAGUAACAC
rnacentral:rRNA from 1 species